CUGAGCUACGGUAUUGGUGUUGACCUUGGAGAUUCCUCACUGCUGAUUUUCACCAGGAACCAACCUGAAGGAAGUAUAUACUGGUGGAGAGAGGGACACAGGACGAGCUCAGGGCCUUAAACAGCUUAGAAAAAGGUAGUUAUGCGGAUGCGUUGGUCAAAUGACAUGCUUUUAUAGGGGCAGGAUAUGAGAGCAUGUGAAAUAAAAUAGCUGGUUUUAUUCUUAGAUAAACUAUCAUAGGUUAUCUUUAGAGUUUGGUUUGUAAGCAUCUUCAGGAGAAGAAAAUAUGCUAUAUUAACGGAUUAACAUCAAUUAGUAUGAUAUUUGAAUAAGGUUGUCUUAGCUCCAAAGACCAGUGCCUAAAAUCUGUUUUUAGAACCGUUUUUGUUAAUAUUUUGAAAGUUUGAAGUAAUUAAUGUCAUGAGGCCUAUCGCAAAACACUCCAUUUUAAAAUAGUAAACAGGAGGGGGGCCUGGCUGGCUCAGUCAGUAGAGUGUGUGACUCUCUCUUAGGAUUGUGAGUUCAGUCUUCACGUUGGGCAUGGAACCUACUUAAAAAAAUAAAAAUUUUUAAAAAUAAGUGAAAUGAAAACAUAAGACCAAGGGGGAGAGGAAGGAAAAAAAAAAAGGGAGGGAGCCAAACCAUAAGAGACUCCUAAAAACUGAGAAUAAACUGAGGGUUGAUGGGUGCUGGGAGGGAGGGGAAGGUGGGUGAUAGGCAUUGAGGAGGGCACCUAUUGGCCCUGGGUGUUGUAUGGAAACCAAUUUGACAAUAAAUUUCAUAUUAAAAAAAUAGGAAAAAGAUAUAUGACAGUAUGAAUAAAAAGGCUGGUGGUUGAUAAAUAAAAAAAAAAUUUAAAUAAAAAUAAGUAAAAUGAUAAAUCAUAGUUAAAAUUACAAUUUGGGUCCUGAAAUACUAGUGUAUAAGAAUACUGACUGUAUUAGUUUUCUGUGGCUACUGUAACACAUUAUCACAAAUUUAGUGUCUUCAAACAACAUAGAUUUAUUAUCUUACAGUUCCACCUAUCCAUACAUUAGAAGUCCAACAUGGUUCUCACUGGGCUAAAAGGAAGGUGUUAGCAGGGCUGUGUUCCUUCCUGGAACUCUAGGGGAGAAUCUUUCCUCUUCCAGCUCCUAGAGGCCAUCCACAUUCCUUGGCUUGUGGCCCCUUCCUCCAUCGUCAAAACUGGCAAUCUGGCAUCUCUUACACCCUCCUUCCAAAGUCACAGCCCCCUCUUUGACCUUCUCUGCUUUUGAGGACCAGGGUGAUGACAUUGGGCCCACCCAGACAAUCCACAACCUCUCCAAUAUAAGAUCCUUAACCCAACCACAUCUGCAAAGUCCCUUUUGCCAGAUGAAGUUACAUAUUUGCAGGUUCUGGAUAUUGGGAUGUAGACAUCUUUGAGUAGGAUCAUUAUUCUCCCUACCACUGGGUAUGUUGUGCUAUACCUGAGGAGGCUCUUAGGUUUUCUUUGUCGAAGAAGGAAUCUAGUCCUGCAACUUCUACUUAUAGAAUUUCUAGAUUUUCCCACAUUUUUCCAUAGAUAUCAUUUGUGUAAAUGUAACAAAAAGAAAUUGGGAAAGAUGUAUUGCUGUGCCUUUGGAAAUGGCAUAGGAUCAAAAUGAGCUGUCUUGCCACAUGCUGACUUGAUUUCCGUAGAAUACAUUGGAUUAUUAGAAAGAUUGUUGGGUCAGAAUGCAGGUAUUAUGAUCAAGUACUGGUAUUAGUUAUCUGCAUGCAUGUAUUCCUGUUGGGGGUUCUGCUAAAACAGGGUAAGUGGGCUCAUUUAAAAUAUAAUAUUCAAAUGGAGAACUCCAGAAGUGUUAUCUUGAGUUAUAAUCUGCUAACAUGAGAUAAACAAAUGCACAGAUUUCUUUUGACCUAGAUUGUGAGUCUGCUUUGUGUUGUGAGUGAAAGAAAAAUUAUCAACUUGAUCAGUGCAGUAAAAUGUGUGUAAUUUUGAGCAGUGUGGGAUUGAGAGUAGCUUACUCAUUUUUGUUUUUAGUGUGGAGUGGAGGAAAGAUUGAAAACAUGCCUUCUUGUGCCCUUUACAAACCUAACAAUUUUGUUUAGAAACCUAAUAUGUUAGGCAUAAUAAUAUCACUUAAUGUACUUGAAAACUUAAUAAGAGGGGCACCUGGGUGGCUCAGUCACUUGAGCGUCCAGUUCUUGGUUUCAGCUCUGAUCAUGAUUCCAGGGUGGUGGGAUCAAGCCCUGUGUCUGGCUCCAUGCUAAGCGUGGAGCCUGCUUAAGAUCCUUUCUCCCUCCCUCCCUCUCUCUCUCCCCCCUCCCUCUCUCUCCCUCUCCCUCUUUCUCCCUGUCUCUCCCUCUCUCCAUCUCUCUCUCUCUCUCUGCCCUGCUUGCACACAUACAUUCUCUCUAAAAUAAAAAAUAAUAAUAGUUUUUUUAAAAACCUUAAAAACUUAAGAAUAGCUAACAUUUUUGGACACUUGUCAUCUUCCAAACACUGUACUGGAUUUAGCUGCGUGAUCUCAUUUAAUCCUAGCAAUAGCCAUGUAAGUCAAAUAUUGUUAUUGGUGUUUUCUAGAAGAGCAAACUGAACCUAAAAAGCAAGUAAGUAACUCACCCAAAGUCACAUAAUUAAUCUGAUUCUCAAGUUCGUACACACUAUUACCACACUUUUCUGCCUGGUUCAGUCUAUUCAGUAUUAAAGUAAAAUUUUACUAUCAAUCAAGUAACUUAUGGCAAUUUAUCUUAAAAUACAUUACAUUUUUGUUUCAAAUUAAGCUGUGUACUAGUAAAAUUUAGGGAAUUUUGUAUGUUUGAUUUUACUAGUUUAAAUUAAAACACAAUGUUCAUAUCUCAAAUUUUCUUUUAUUGUUUCAACAACACAAAACAUUUAAAUUAGCUGAGGGGGAAAAUUCUCAUUGUUAUUGAAUGAAAUUUUUGCUUCAAGAACAAAUUUAAUCAGUCCCAUUUUCUUUCUUUUUUAAAAAAUGUUGAUUUAUUUAUUUGAGAGAGAGCACACGUGUGAGCAGGGGAGGGGCAGAGAGAGAGGGAAAGAGAGAGAAUCCCCACAGAGCCAGAUGUGGGGCUUGAUCCCACCAACCAUGGGAUCAUGACCUGAGCCAAAAUCAAGAGUUUGACGCUUAACCAACUGAGCCACCCAGGUGCUCCUAACCAGUCCUAUUUUCUAAGUUGUCCCUAGUCACUUGUAUUUUUUCCAUUUGUUUUCUCAGACACAAAUUUUUAUCCUCUUAUCACUCUGGUAACAUAUAUAUCAAAAGGCAAACGUAAGUGGAAUAAAUGGAAAAAUCACUUUUCUGUUCUGUGUUUUUCUACUUCGUCCUUACCGCUUUCUUUUUAAUACACUUUCACGGAUCUCAGGAAACCAAAAGACCCCACUUUUUUGGUGUUCAUUUCUGUGAGACCGACGCCACAAAACUGACUUGCUUUCACAAGCUGCCGGAAGGUAGCAGGAGGCAGGGCAGAGCUGCGGGGCUGGGGACCGACGCGGUGACCUAGCACGUGUUGGCUUGGCAGGCUCAGCGUUGCCGUCUGGAUGCCGUGUUCCGAAGCUUUGGCGAGAUCCCAGCAGCGAGCUCCGCGCUUCUGAGCUGUUUUAGAAUCUUUUCUCACAUCCGUAGGGCUUCGUACGUCACUUUAAUUUUGGUCUUUGACUCUUCCACCUGAGAGGUCAAAUGCUGUGCCUACAGAAGCCUCUCAUUCCAAAGUCUUUCUCUUGGCUUUCUGACAGCGAAAAUUUUAUUAUUAAGUUUCACCAGCAGUUGGUUCUUUUAUUUGGAACAUCUGGUAGGGAAUGUCCACUUUAGUUGCUCUGAUUGCUUAAGAAAUUGACUUUUGAAUCUGCAGGGGAUUCUACAGAGAAGCCAGGAAGCUAUUCUUAUCUUGGAAGCUAUCCCCAGUGCUUCCAGAUGGUUUCAGUGAAGAAACACUCAACAGCCUCACAUCCACAGAUCUCCAGCUUCCUUCCAAUUCUGAAACCAUUAUUUAGACUCUGGUCUCCUUUACCCUCUCAGCUUUUUGAACAAGAAUGGCAAUGGAAAAAAGUGGAUCAAAUUGCCAUUGCAUUGUCCCAAGUUCUUUGAGCUCUAGGCAGGAUCUUAUCCAUCAGCCUUCAGCUCAGCAGUGAACAAGGCAAAGCCUACCACACAGAAGGCACUGACUUCCUUUUCAGAGGCACAACAGUAGCCCCUGGAGACAACUCCAUCGUGUUCUUGUAGAUGGAGCCCUUUACUCCUUGUCCUCAGUGUGCAGAAAUUGUAAUGAUCUGGUAAUGUACAUAAGUCUCCAUAAAGACCAUCCUCUCAGGUAGGUUUUAGAAAUAUUUGGGUUGUUGGGAGGGUAGUAUAUUAACACCCUCUGUUAACCAUUUUGUAAAAAUUCCCCUUCCUUAGACUUUGUGUGUUAAUUCUCACUUACCACCUUAUUCGUUAGCUCCUUAGACAGUUUUUGUAGCUCACACAUGCCCUGUCAGGCUAGGAUCUAAUGGGGUUCUGGUUUAGAGAUUCUUUGCAUAGAGUUAGGUGUAGGGAGGAAUCCUCACAUGUUAUUUUCUUUCCAUGACUGCUACCUUAUAAGCCAUACAUAGAGUAAGAGAAAAUAACAGGAGAGACUCCACACAGGUUUUCAAAGUAGUUGGAGUCUUAGAAGUGACCUUGGCUUGGAGAGUGAGAGAAGGAGAACAGCUUCUACUCAGUCUACCUUUGAUUUUAGUGAGAAGGCAUUUGGAGAAAACCUUUAAGCAGGUUACCUGGGAGUCUCCCAGUAGACACCAUCAUUUAUUGUCAUAUACUAGGGAAGAGUAUCCAUGGCUGUCUUCAGUGUGUCCAGUAGUGUGGUUUCAUCUCCAUAGCUGAACUUGUUGUCACAUCCAAGUAAAAGUUUACCUACUCCAUUUCAGUCUUGUGUUCACUUAUUUGGCCUUUGUGGUAGUCUGACAAACACUAUUAACAUCAAGACCAGGUUCCACCAUGUGGAUGUUGAAGCCAGAAGAAAUAAAUAAUGGAGAAAUGUAGUUAAUAGAGGGUAAGUGAGUAACAAAUCAGAAAAGAAAAAGAUAGGGACUAUGGCUACCUGAGAUAGAGAUUUUUCAAAAUUGGGAGCCUAGAAGGUUGAAAUUUGAACCCAAGUAUGAUAAAGGUUUAUGUUUUGGAAAUCUUGCUUUGCUGACCAGAUUGAGAAGGGAACCAGGUAGGUGUGGCAAGGCCAGCUAGCAAGCUCGUGCAGUCGUCCACACGACAGAUGUUGGUAGCUUGAAAUAGGGUGGUGAUGUGGAGGUGGAGAGAAGUGGACCAGGGAGAAGUAACUUUGUAGAUAAAAUCACAAGAUUUGAAGAUAGUUCAGAUUGAGGGUGUGGGAGGCAGAGAAAAAGAAUGGCUCCUGGGUUUCUGGUCUAUGAAAUGGAAUGGAUAGUGAUACAGUUCUUUGAGCUAGGGAGUCCUGGAAAAGAACCAAACUUUUUGGUAGUGGGGUGACCAUGAGUUGCACAGGGACAUAUGAAUCUGAAAAUACCUUUGAGGUACCCAAAAAAGUGUCAGAUAGGCCAUUGGAUGGGUGGGAUGGAGCUCGGAGGAGGGGCCCUCAGACCCAUUGGUUCUGGAACCUGGCUUGUGAGUACUCAUUUUAACCUCCACAGGUGGUUUAACAGUGCAGCCAUGAUUGAGAUUUCCUGCCCUGCCCACUCUUUUCUCAGCAUGCCUUUCAUGUAGUGUAUGAAUCUUACCUAUUUAUUUCUUCCAGACACCACUUUGUCUGACAUCCUUCACCUGAUCUGUCUCCAGUUAUCUCCCAGAUGGUUGUCUCUAACUGUGACAUUUCUUCUCUCGAGUUCUCAGUUUUCAGUUUCUACAGUACACAUCUACUUGGAUAUAUCUCAGCUGUGGCGUUACUUUCUUCAAAUUGCCCAAGCUAGAAACCUUGAUGUCAUCCUUGAUUCUCUGAGCUUUAUCCUUUCUUACCAGGACAGCUGCUAACAGCAUGGACUCGUGUCCUCAGGUGGGGACAUUGCAGCAGCCUGGAGCAUGAUGGCAAGAGUGUGAGCUCAGGAGUCUGAUGUGGGUGCAAAAGCCCGCUUCUCCACUAGUUGGUUAGCUGGGAGACUUUGGACAACUUCCUUAACUUCCCUGACUCUGCCUCCUGUAUGUUCAUUUUUUUUUUUUUUUUUCAUUUCAAAUUUUUAAAUUCCAGUUAACAUGUAGUGUAAUUUUGGUUUCAGGAGUAGAAUUUAGUGAUUCAUCCCUUAAACACAAUACCCAGUGUUCAUCACAAGUGCCGUCUUUAGUACCCAUCACCCAUUUAGCCCAUCCCUCACCCACCUCCCUCCAGCAACCCUCAGUUUGUUCUCCAUAUUUAAUCAUCUCUCGUGGUUUGUUUCCUUCUCUCUUUUUUUUACCCCCUUUCCGUAUGUUUAUUUGUUUUGUUUCUUAAAUUCCACAUGAGUGAAAUCAUAGGGUAUUCAGUAGGCAUAGUACUAUCAAUUGCCUUAUAAGGUGGUUGGGGUUAGUAGUAAUUUUUGAAGCAUAUAACGCAGAUUCUAGCAAAUAAAGAAUACUUGGUAAAUGGUAAAUACUGUUAUUAUUAACUAAUCUCCUUGCCUUUAUUUCCCUUCUCCUUCUCUUCUGUCUACUACAGAUUACCCUUUUUAAAACACUGGUAUUAUGUGGUCUCACUUUCCUUUGUCUCUUUGUGUAUUUUUAAUUGAACUUUUUGUAUAGCUAUGGCUUGAAUAGGCCUUAUCUCCCUUCCUGGUAAGCUCUUUGGGAGCAAGGCUUUGGCUUAUUCAUCAUUUUCUGUUUUCUUCCUGUCUUAUCCUCCACCCAGGCUUAGCAUAGGGCUUUAUACAUCACAGAUAUUUACUAAAUGCUUGUUGAAUCUCUUAUGUCUCUUCUCUACUCCCGUCUUAUA